rnacentral:rRNA from 1 species
CAAGCGGUGGAGCUUGUGGUUUAAUUCGAUGCAACGCGAAGAACCUUACCUGGUCUUGACAUCCACGGAAGUUUUCAUAGAUGAAAAUGUUCCUUCGGGAACCGUGAGACAGGUGCUGCAUGGCUGUCGUCCGCUCGUGUUGUGAAAUGUUGGGUUAAGUCCCGCAACGAGCGCAACCCUUAUCCUUUGUUGCCAGCGGUCCGGCCGGGAACUCAAAGGAGACUGCCAGUGAUAAACUGGAGGAAGGGGGGGAUGACGUUAAGUCAUCAUGGCCCUUACCACCAGGGCUACACACGUGCUACAAUGGCGCAUACAAAGAGAAGCGACCUCCCGAGAGCCAGCGGACAUCAUAAAGUGCGUCGCAGACCGGAUUGGAGUCUGCAACUCGACUCCAUGAAGUCGGAAUCGCUAAUCUCGUGGAUCAGAGUGCCACGGUGAAUACGUUCCCGGGUUCUUGUACACUCC